GGGUCAAUGACAAGACCUAAUAUGUCUUGAAGAAAGAUGAUGACUUAAAAAUCAUGCUCAGUAGCAUUACACUGAGGCCC